UGGGCAUGGUGGGGGUGGGCUGGUGGUUGGACUUGAUGAUCAGAGACGUCUUUUUCAAUUGUAAUAAUUCUGUGAUUCUACAGUCAUGAUAGCAGACUGGUCUCCAAGGUCUUCAAGUCUGCCAGGAGCAAAGCAUGCAGAAAGAGGCAGAUAGACCUUAGCUAAGUGCUUACAAACCUCACUUUUGCAUCUGUGAAUGAGUUUUGCUGCUCCCUGCCUCCACUUCACCUUCUCAGUGCUUCAGGUGUGAUUGUGAUGGUGCCCUAAGCAGCAUGUGGCAGGAAUUACCUGGUAUAUGAGUCUAGUUGCUGUACUGUGCUUGCAAACUGAGGGGUAAAAAUCAAGUGCAUUUUAUUACCUUCAAAAGAACUGUAGGGGUGGCUGGCUGCCCUACCAUUGCUGAUGCCCAUAAACGUGUUUGAUUUGACAAAGUUGGGAUUUCUAGCAGCCUUUGCUGUUGUGGAUGUCCGGGCAGACAGCAUUCACAAAUGAUACCUAAUCUACUGUCUUUCCACAUUGCCACAAAACUUCUUAGAGUUCAUGAAGUAGGCAAACAACUUCUCUCCAAGGCUCCGUAGCAUCCCCAGCUGAUCCAGAGUGCUCAAAGUAAACCUGAAUUCAAGGAACAGAGCCAGAGGGAUAGAUGAAGCAAUAUAUCCCACAGAUUUUUGGACCAGAUGAUGUUGGUUUCUGCAUGAACCCAAUCCCUCUGCCUCUGUGCGUGUUUUCUAGAUGAUGGUCACAUUAUACUCCCAUGUAGUACCACUUUUUUCAAGCUGUUACUAAAACCUCAGGAGAGAAAUGAAGCCUCCUGCUCUCCAUAAUCUGACUGAGAUGGACGGAUGAGAUUCAGAGAGAGAAAUGAGUUGCAGCAUUUCUUGGGAUGGUGACUAAUUGCUGCUCUUUCUUUCUCAUGGUAUUGCACCUCAAGCUGCUUGAUAACUUGCAGAUAAAAUAACAACCAACUGUCAUGACUCAAAACCAACCUGCAGGUUACCAGGUGCUUGCAAAAACCAUGGUACUUAAUGACUGUGCCCAACCUACUGCAAACAGCCUUUCCUCAUGCAUGAAAAAGAGCAGCAGGGAGCAUGGUUCUAGGCUCAACGAAUAACUCUAUCUCUGCAGUGGGCAUCUCAGCCCCACAUCACGCCCAGCCAUCAGCUGCUACAGGGAAAUAUGAUUGGGACAGAAGAGUCCCACUGCAUGACAGUGAGGAUGUUGGGCUUAUUUAAAAAAUGGGGAUGGGGAGCCCCUCAAUGCUCCAAGGAAAAGACAUGGGAAAGAGGGAGGGCCUGAGGAUUUUAACCUGAGCUAAGAGCUUGGGGAGAUGGCAGAGACACAGGCUGCGUUUGUAAUCUGGGGAGAGGAAAGGUUCUCCAGAGGGGGAGGUGAUUGUUUUUAACCUGAGUGCAGACAGCUGGCGUGCCAGAAGACAUGCACAAGGUGACCAGACGUGAUGGGACAGACACUGCCAACCACAGCAGCAGCAGCUUUUUCUCAGGUUUGCCUUUGUGAAUACUCAUCAGAGAAAUAUGACUGACAGAGGAGACAAAGUUCAGAGUUGCAGACGUUUUUAUAGAAGCACAGUCACAGUUUCCCUGUCAAGGCAACAGUGAACUCAGAGCAGGUAUCUGGGCUCUUCAUGAAACAGAUUAAACUGCUCCUUGUCCUCUCUAUAAUGCCUGCAGUGGAAGCCAAAAUAAGUUGCAUAGAUUUUUAAUAACAAGGGCUCUUCACAGCUGUAGUACUGGACUGAACGAAGCAACUCCUCACCCCAGCCUUCUCCUUCCCAGUCUCCAGAUGAAGGCCCAAUGCUUUACGGGGAAUCCACUGCUGUCACAUAUCAGCUACCAGGCUCGGCAAUAAAUAAAGCAGGUAAAGUGCAAUGGUUUUAAUAGGAAAGUGUUCAAACUAUCUGACCAAAGGGUGCCUCCUACCCUUUCAUUCUGUGACUCUGUUGUCUGAACACAGGCUGUAUUAUAGAGGAUGUUCACGUCAGUUCUGCUAGCUUGUAAGCCAACAAAAACUGGUACAUUAAGAAAUGUGGUGUUUGGUGGUUAUAUCUUUUUGUCUUGACCAAGGUUAGAGAAGCAGAUUAUCAGUUUUGUAUACAUUGCUAACAUCACUACAAUUUCAGAGAGAGCUGCACACUGAAGGAAAAUAGCAGCUCAUGGCUAAUUGAUGAGAUUAAUAUGCAAUUGUCAGUAUAUUAUGAACUUGGGUUUGCACUACAAUCCUCUUUUUCAUUAAUUGCUACACUCGUCCUAUUUCAUUUCUCUAGGUAAGUAGGAUAAAAUGAUACAUUUCUGUUCUGGAUUUCAAGACUAAUAAUGACAUCUUUCAGACAGCACAUUCUCCCCUGUUUUUGGAAAGGCACUCCCCGGGUGAGAAUCAUGGAAUGCUGUCUCCUCAAAAACCUCACAGAGCAGGGAAAUUACAUUAUACAGUGAGAAAAAAAUGAAGAUGGAGGCAAUGUUAAGGGUGCACGGCAGUGAUUUACAGUGAAAUAUGCUGCAGAGAUAAUGCAAUUAUUCAAAGCCCAGAAACUGUAAACCUUGGACAUUCUAAGUUAAAAUCAAAUUUAACAAGAAAACCAAAUAAAGCAUAAAGAAAUGCAAAACCAAAACAUCAAAAAAAUCUCAAUUAUGCUUGGUUAAAAGCUCUUUAAAAUCUCUAACUAGCUAAAAGGCACGACGUUUGUGUGCAUAAUAUGUGUGUGUUUAUAUAUAAACUAAUACACGCAUGCUUUUGAAGAUGAAUCAUACACUUCCACUUCAUACUUUUGUACUAGAAAAUUCAUUAGAAAUCUCUGUUUUGCAAGAAUGGGCAAAAAAAACAAAAAAAAGGAAAAAAAGUACUGCAUGCCUUUAGAAAUCUCUUAAUCGUAUCCAAGUCCACAAUUGCAGAACCAUCUCGAUAUGAACAGUAUGUUUUUGCCUGGUUACAGUCACCACAGUAACACCCAUGUAGCUGCUAAAAAGCUCAUCUCCUGGAAAAAGAAAAGAGCAGAGGGAAGCAUAAAUUAGAGAGCGAUAUAUGUACCAGAUAUCUGUGCAUCAGUGGGACCUCAGCGGGGCCUUGUAGAAUCUGACAACAGCACAAGGAGCACACUGGAGGUUACAUACUGCUCUUUUGGCUGCAGGUGGGUAUCUCUGCGAGUCCAGAGGGAACAGCUACAGGUACAGGGAGAUGCAAAGCCUCUCUUAUGGAGGCAGCUACCUGGGGAUGUGAGGACUGGAGAUUCCUGGGCCAUCCAUAGGGACUCUGCUCCUCUGGGAAUGAGAAGGUGUGAGAGCUGGGCUGAGGGAACAUGCGCGGUGUGAGAGGAGUCAGCCGGACCCAGCUGCACAGUUCGGUCCUGUGAUGGGGACUGUCCUAGUCCCAGGUGCCGUAUCAAACCUUGUCUGUCCAAGAGGCAGCCCUGGAAAUGUUAAGCAAUUGUUAGAUCGAAACUGGAUCCUGAUGGCAUGGUAGGACAACAGCACAGGCAUAUUGAGGUGAAUGAUCAACCUCUCCUGGGCUGCUGUAUAGCAAUGAUCAGGCUGUCAUAAAGAGCUAAGAAAAAGUGUUCAUAGGCAGUGUCAGAAACACCAGUUUUUAUCAUGGAAUUAGAUCUGUACUGGCAAAUCUUAAAAAACCAUCCCUCCUGUACUAGAAACAGCUGGACUUUCUCUGACUGACUACAGUGUCUGCUCCAUGUCCACAACCCAGAUGUAAUGCUGUUAAUCACAGAGGUAUUGGUUGUAGCUCCCAUAUGCAAAACCUAUGUUAUGCUUUGCACUCUAUGUGCGUAUGAGACUGGAAAAACAAAGUAUACUUUCCCCAAACUAAAAGCAAUACCUCUAUCCCAUAGAGGAUUCACAUGAUAAGAAGUUACCUGACAUCUGCUAAGUAUUUCCUGGUAGGAGAGUCAGGCUGCUUAACUUGGAUCAGUGGCCAAUGCCAUCUUGCAUUCAUCUCCCAGAAGCUUUGCUCUGCCUCAGAAUAAAAAGACUCGCUCUCCCACACACAUUGUUCAUACUGGUCAAAUGCACUGAUUAAAAAACCCCACGAACUUCAGUGAGCCUAUUUUCCUGAAAAGAAUUGCAUUUUAGCCUGGUUGCUGUACUCCCAGCUUCUCCUAGUAGCUGAUCAGUGAGCUACAGGCUGAGCGUUUCAGAUCUCUGCUGCCACGAUAUUCCUGCUUGCAUCAUGACAAGAAAACGUUCCUUAAAGAAAACCAAUAUGGGUUCUUCAUGAUCUCCGGAGGAGAAAGCCAACACGGAGCUUCAGACACAGUCUGUUCUGGGCUAUAACAGAAUGUUGGAGACCAGCAUUCCCAAGAAGCUCCCAAACCAAGACUGCACAUCAACCACACAGCGCUACUUGGUUCCCCAGCAUCCAGGGAAUGGGACAUUUAAAACCCUACAGAAACCUUUCUUCUUUGUCUCCAACCAACUUUUGUUUUACUUUUUCUUUGCUCAAAGCUCUGGUCAUCAGACUUACCCAGGCAGGAAUUAAUUUUUCUUUGCCAUUGUUAAUGGAUAACUCAAUCAUGGUAGUUAAAAAAACAUACGUGGUAUGAGUCAGCAAGGGAAGGUGACACAUGGAGGACCUGGAAAUUUUUCCUCAUUCCUUUCUGCCCGUGGUCAGCCAGAUAUUGGGUGGUGCUUUGGAGAAGCAAGCAGGAGGACUGAGGCAUGGCUUGUCCCAGGAAGACAGGGCUCCUUUGCUCUGCUUGCUGCUAGAUGGGAAGGCUCAGAGCUGGCAGCCAGUAAUUUUCCUGGGAGUAAUUACCAAAUUUCCAUAGCAGCAAUUUGGAAGCAUAGAAUGUAUAACCUCAGCCUCGCUCCCUCCAUCAUCGCGAAGACUUUUGCCUCGAAACCUGCUUUCCCCCCUUCACAUUAUUUAAAGCAUGACACAUGAUCAAUAACAUGAAAGUGCAGAAAACUUUCUCAUAUGAUAAUCCUAUUGAUUUUUAGACGAAAUAAUUAAACUAGCUGCUAAGACCAAGUUCAUCAAUACAAUCUGGCUGCUUUGUCCCCCCCCUCUUGACUAAGAGGAAUCAAUCAGGGUCUCCUGGCUUGCAUAACCAGUGUCAUAGUGACUGCGCUGCUCUGACACAAUAUUGAAUAGCCAUUUUACACCUGAUUCUUCUCACCUUGCUCUUACAACCACCUGCACGAACCCCCCCGGCUCUGAAUUACACCCUCCUCCUGAAUCUUCUACAUUGUACUGUACGUUCCCAGAAGCCUCCAUCUCCUUUCUCUUCUGUGUGCUCCUUUCUACACUAUCGAGUUGCUUUGUGAAACAUUGAAUACAGCUUUAGAAGACAUAUUGUAUUUUUCACAGAUAACAGAGAUCGAGUUGCAAAUUGUGCUAAAUGCCAAAUUUAUUUCCAUUUUGAUGACAGAAGCAUCUCUACAAAUUAACACCUCUGCUCCGACUGCACGUUAACAAUGGGACUUUACUACCAACCAGUUCUCUGCAAAGCGGAGCAGGUCUCUGGUAGAGUAUGGAAGGGGAAAGCCAAGAAGAGUCUCCGAGGCUUCCUCUGAAAGCCAAGCAGCUUCUCCAUAGGGAUGGCUGCCUGAACUGAAAAUUUCAUCUCAUUCUCUGAUUCCCUUAAGACCUGUGGCAUAGUUCCCGUAGAAUCUCUCCCCAAAAUGUCUCGCUUAUUUUUUUGCUUAUUGUUUUUGCUGAAUCAAGAAGUCCAGGAAAAUGUGCCUUAAGGUUUCACAUAUCCAAGCUUCUGCGAGCCAGUGAAAGAAGUGGAUUCUGCAGUGAGGAUCUGGAAAUGGAUUCACUCUCAUCAGGCAGACGACAACUUGUGCUGCCACUGAGCUGCUCCUGCACCCAAGUGGCUGGAGCGAGGAAUCUCUUCAAGGCAAUAAAUCGGGCAGGAUACGACUGGAGAUGAGGGACGUACGUCAUUGUUACGUGCAGCCAGAGAAGGGAUUCUUUGUACUGGUUUCCUGAUGAACGAUGUGUAAAACGUUCACAGAUUUGGCUGUAUUCAAGGGAUGAAGUGGCUUGUGUGUACGUACCAGCUGAUACUCUGAUUAUCCACCUCUGCAACAACUGAGAAAGCCCUCAAAAAUUUAGGCUGGUAACAAUCAAAUGUAAUACAUUCUAUGGAAUGCACUCUCAUGGAGCACCAGAUUCAAAGUAUGUGCAGCACUUUAUGCUGAAGAAAUGGCUAGAAACUCUGGAAGAGUUUUAGAAUAUCGAGCAACUCCCAGCCUGAAUCAGAAUCAGACACUUUGCGUGGCAGAGCACAGCAGGCAGUCCUAGCAGAUCCACCACUCCCCACCCAGCUGAGCCACAAACACUUUGUUACUGACGAACAUUCUUCAGCAGCAUUCCUAAGAUCUAUUGGAGUUUGCAAGUUGCAGAAUUUUCUUGAAAGAC